rnacentral:rRNA from 1 species
CCUACGGGGGGCAGCAGUGAGGAAUAUUGGUCAAUGGGCGCGAGCCUGAACCAGCCAAGUCGCGUGAGGGAAGACGGUCCUAUGGAUUGUAAACUUCUUUUGUCGGGGAGCAAAGGCCGCUACGCGUGGCGCUUUGCGAGUACCUGAAGAAAAAGCAUCGGCUAACUCCGUGCCAGCAGCCGCGGUAAUACGGAGGAUUCGAGCGUUAUCCGGAUUUAUUGGGUUUAAAGGGUGCGCAGGCGGAAUGUUAAGUCAGCGGUAAAAUUUCGGGGCUCAACCCCGUCGUGCCGUUGAAACUGGCGGUCUAGAGUGAGCGAGAAGUAUGCGGAAUGCGUGGUGUAGCGGUGAAAUGCAGAGAUAGCACGCAGAACUCCGAUUGCGAAGGCAGCAUACCGGCGCUCAACUGACGCUCAUGCACGAAAGCGUGGGUAUCGAACAGGAUUAGAUACCCUGGUAGUC